CUCUGUCUUUUGCAAUUGUAAACAAACAAAAUACUAAAAAGCCUAAAGGUAUAUAAACUUAAUCAAUGCCUUGAGCUACUUAAUGUUCGAGGUAGGAGUAGGAGCCAUGUGUUUUGAUUUAGUUCAAGGCUUUUUCACCUUGCAAACUACCCCUUUCUCAAAUGUCUUCUUACUUGAACUGUGCGUUUAGUCUACUGUUUUUGCAUCCACCCACAUGUGACCCUAAUCACCCCUUUUGCCCUCCCCUCUCCCCCCUUCCCCAAUGGUAACCACCAGUCCAAUCUCCAAUGCUAUGUGUUUGAUUUUUUUUUUUGUCAUUUUUAUCUUCUACUUUGAGUGAGAUCAUAUGGUAUCUGAUUUUCUCCCUCUGACUUAUUUCAUUCAGCAUAAUACCUUCAAGGUCCAUCCAUGUUGUCACAAAUGGCCAGAUUUCAUCAUUUCUUAUGGCUGAGUAGUAGUCCAUCGUGUAUAAAUACCACAUCUUCUUUAUCCAUUCGUCCCUUGUUGGGCACCUACGUUGCUUCCAAGUCUUGGCUAUUCUGUAUAAUGCCGCAAUGAACAUAGGGGUGCAAGUAUCUUUAUGCCUUUGUGUUUUCAAGUUCUUUGGAUAAAUACCCACAGUGGAAUAGCUGGAUCAUAUGGUAGAUCUAUCCUUAAUUUUCUGAGGAUACUCCAAACUGCUUUCCAUAGUGGCUGCACCAGUUUGCACUGCCACCAGCAGUGAACAAGGGUUCCCUUCUCUCCACACCCUCUCCAACAUUUGUUGUUUCCUGUCUUGUUAAUUAAGGCCAUUCUGACCGGAGUGAGGUGAUACCUCAUUGUAGUUUUGAUUUGCAUUUACCUGAUAGCUAAUGAUGUUGAGCAUCUUUUCAUAUGCCUGUUGGCCAUCUGUAUAUCUCCUUUGAAGAAAUCUCUGUUCAGAUCUUUUGCCCAUUUUCUAAUUGGAUUGUUGGUUUUUUUGUUGUUAGCUGUAUUAGUUCUUUGUAUAUUUUGGAUAUUAACCCCUUAUCUGAUAGAUUCUUAAAUUUAGCAUCUCUCAAUGACC
rnacentral:lncRNA from 1 species